UCGGGAAUAUUGGGCAAUGCCCGCAAGGGUGACCCAGCAACGCCGCGUGGAGGAUGAAUGUCGUAAGAUUGUAAACUCCUGUUAGAGGGGAAGAAUAGUACCGGUUGGACCGGUAUAUGACUGUACCCUCAGAGAAAGCCCCGGCUAACUACGUGCCAGCAGCCGCGGCAAUGCGUAGGGGGCAAGCGUUGUCCGGAUUUACUGGGUGUAAAGGGCGCGCAGGCGGGAUAAAAAGUCAGUGGUGAAAUCCUACAGCUUAACUGUAGAACUGCCUUUGAUACUUUUAUUCUUGAGUUCGGGAGAGAGAGACGGAAUUCCAGGUGUAGUGGUGAAAUACGUAGAUAUCUGGAAGAACACCAGUUGCGAAGGCGGUCUCUUGGUCCGACACUGACGCUGAGGCGCGAAAGCGUGGGGAGCAAACA
rnacentral:rRNA from 1 species